AGAGUCUGACUGUGCAACCUGCAGUGGUCAGGGGUCACUGGCCCAGACUACUUCCUCUCUGAUUGCUAUGAAGAUAUGAUGAGCGGAGUGUCGCAAUGGGGCUCAUCAUAGCUGGGUUAGUGACUUGCAUGAUAAACUCAGAGCCUCCAAAUGGGUUAUGGUAUUGCAGAAGUGAUACUGAAAGAAAUGGGCCUACUCACCUUCAUUAGAGGUGGCAACUUGACGCGGCUGACUUGUGGAGGAGGCUGAUUCAGAAACCCGUUGCUGGUUACCCGGAGGCUGUGUCUGCAGUCGGUUCCAGCGUGUAUGGAAGCCGAUGAUGAAUCGUUAUCUCCGGGCGGUGUGUGGGUUGUCUGUGUAAUAAAGUAGGGACCAGAAGCGGAGACAAUAGGAAUUUGUCACAGUUUGGUUCUCGACAUUUUCGGCGACCUGUCCCCCUCCCCAUGGGUGUAAGAUGUUUUGGAUGACUUGGAUAGAUUUGCAAACAACUGUGCCAUUGUUUGCAAAAUAGGAAAAGAGUUAUAGGUUACGUCCAAUAUCAACAAUAAAUACAUUUUGACAAUACUUAAUACUAAUAUUACAAUAGAUGGAUGCAUGUAUGCAUCAACACGUGUCACAUUUCCCAAAAUAUGUAGCCUAUUAAAAGAAGGGAUGUAGGUGUGUUUUGAAGGCUAUGUCUGAGUCUGAACGUUAUUGUCUCUAAAAUGUUGUUAGCU